UACGUAGGGCGCAAGCGUUGUCCGGAAUUAUUGGGCGUAAAGAGCUCGUAGGCGGCCUGUUGCGUCCGCUGUGAAAUCCCGGGGCUCAACCCCGGGCGUGCAGUGGAUACGGGCUGGCUGGAGGCAGGCAGGGGAGAACGGAAUUCCUGGUGUAGCGGUGAAAUGCGCAGAUAUCGGGAGGAACACCAGUGGCGAAGGCGAUCAUCUGGGGUUGUUCUGACACUGAGGAGCGAAAGCUAGGGGAGCAAACGGG
rnacentral:rRNA from 1 species